AACGGAAAGGCUCCAGCUUGCUGGAGUACUCGAGUGGCGAACGGGUGAGUAACACGUGGGUAAUCUGCCCUGCACUCUGGGAUAAGCCUGGGAAACUGGGUCUAAUACUGGAUAUGACCUUUCUCCUUAUGGGGUUUGGUGGAAAGUUUUUCGGUGUAGGAUGAGCCCGCGGCCUAUCAGCUUGUUGGUGGGGUGAUGGCCUACCAAGGCGACGACGGGUAGCCGGCCUGAGAGGGUGAUCGGCCACAUUGGGACUGAGAUACGGCCCAGACUCCUACGGGAGGCAGCAGUGGGGAAUAUUGCACAAUGGGCGGAAGCCUGAUGCAGCGACGCCGCGUGAGGGAUGACGGCCUUCGGGUUGUAAACCUCUUUCAGCAGGGACGAAGCGUAAGUGACGGUACCUGCAGAAGAAGCACCGGCUAACUACGUGCCAGCAGCCGCGGUAAUACGUAGGGUGCGAGCGUUGUCCGGAAUUACUGGGCGUAAAGAGCUCGUAGGCGGUUUGUCACGUCGUCUGUGAAAUCCUAGGGCUUAACCCUGGACGUGCAGGCGAUACGGGCUGACUUGAGUACUACAGGGGAGACUGGAAUUUCUGGUGUAGCGGUGGAAUGCACAGAUAUCAGAAGAACACCGAUGGCGAACGCAGGUCUCUGGGUAGUAACUGACGCUGAGGAGCGAAAGCAUGGGUAGCGAACAGGAUUAGAUACCCUGGU
rnacentral:rRNA from 1 species